rnacentral:rRNA from 1 species
CAAGCCGACCACGAACGCGCGUGAGGCAUCGCCC